rnacentral:rRNA from 1 species
UACGAAGGGGGCUAGCGUUGCUCGGAAUCACUGGGCGUAAAGCGCACGUAGGCGGAUUGCUAAGUCAGGGGUGAAAUCCUGGAGCUCAACUCCAGAACUGCCCUUGAUACUGGCGGUCUCGAGUCCGGGAGAGGUGAGUGGAACUGCGAGUGUAGAGGUGAAAUUCGUAGAUAUUCGGAAGAACACCAGUGGCGAAGGCGGCUCACUGGACCGGCAUUGACGCUGAGGUGCGAAAGCGUGGGGAGCAAACAGG